rnacentral:rRNA from 1 species
AGAGUUUGAUCCUGGCUCAGAUUGAACGCUGGCGGCAUGCUUUACACAUGCAAGUCGAACGGCAGCGCGGGGAGCUUGCUCCCUGGCGGCGAGUGGCGCACGGGUGAGUAAUACAUCGGAACGUGUCUUCUAGUGGGGGAUAACUGCCCGAAAGGGCAGCUAAUACCGCAUGAGACCUGAGGGUGAAAGCGGGGGAUCGCAAGACCUCGCGCAAUUGGAGCGGCCGAUGCCCGAUUAGCUAGUUGGUGAGGUAAAGGCUCACCAAGGCGACGAUCGGUAGCUGGUCUGAGAGGACGACCAGCCACACUGGGACUGAGACACGGCCCAGACUCCUACGGGAGGCAGCAGUGGGGAAUUUUGGACAAUGGGGGCAACCCUGAUCCAGCCAUGCCGCGUGCAGGAUGAAGGUCUUCGGAUUGUAAACUGCUUUUGUCAGGGACGAAAAGGGAUGCGAUAACACCGCAUUCCGCUGACGGUACCUGAAGAAUAAGCACCGGCUAACUACGUGCCAGCAGCCGCGGUAAUACGUAGGGUGCAAGCGUUAUCCGGAAUUAUUGGGCGUAAAGGGCUCGUAGGCGGUUCGUCGCGUCCGGUGUGAAAGUCCAUCGCUUAACGGUGGAUCCGCGCCGGGUACGGGCGGGCUUGAGUGCGGUAGGGGAGACUGGAAUUCCCGGUGUAACGGUGGAAUGUGUAGAUAUCGGGAAGAACACCAAUGGCGAAGGCAGGUCUCUGGGCCGUCACUGACGCUGAGGAGCGAAAGCGUGGGGAGCGAACAGGAUUAGAUACCCUGGUAGUCCACGCCGUAAACGGUGGAUGCUGGAUGUGGGGACCAUUCCACGGUCUCCGUGUCGGAGCCAACGCGUUAAGCAUCCCGCCUGGGGAGUACGGCCGCAAGGCUAAAACUCAAAGAAAUUGACGGGGGCCCGCACAAGCGGCGGAGCAUGCGGAUUAAUUCGAUGCAACGCGAAGAACCUUACCUGGGCUUGACAUGUUCCCGACAGCCCCAGAGAUGGGGCCUCCCUUCGGGGCGGGUUCACAGGUGGUGCAUGGUCGUCGUCAGCUCGUGUCGUGAGAUGUUGGGUUAAGUCCCGCAACGAGCGCAACCCU